rnacentral:tRNA from 1 species
GCCCGCUUGGCGGAAUUUGGUAGACGCAAGGGACUUAAAAUCUCGGCCUUUUGGCCGUGCCGGUUCAAGUCCGGCAGCGGGCACCA